CGGGUCACACAUGGCAUUGGUAGGACCCAAAAAUGGCGUUUUUUACCCCAAAAAUGGCCUUUUUGACCCCAAAAUCAGGCAUUUUGGACCCAAAAACCCUCAAUUUGACCCCAAAAUGGCCAUUUUCGGCCCAAAAUGGGCUUUUUUGACCCCAAAACCCCCAAUUUCGACCCCAAAAUGGUCAUUUUUGGCCCCAAAAUGGGCCUUUUUAGAUCCAAAAUAGUCAUUUUUGGACCCCAAAUGGGCAUUUCUAACCCCAAGAUGGGUCUUUCUAACCCCAAAAUGCCCCUUUCUGACCCCAAAUUGGCCUUUUUUAACCCCAAAAUGGUCAUUUCUGACCCCAAAUUCCCUCUUUCUGACCCCAAAAUGGUCAUUUUUGGCCCCAAAUUCCCUCUUUCUGUCCCCAAAAUGGGCUUUUUUGGACCCAAAAUGGCCCUUUCUGACCCCAAAAUGAUGGGGCUGCUCAGCAGGACGGAGCCCAUCCGGGUCACACAUGGCAU
rnacentral:lncRNA from 1 species